rnacentral:rRNA from 1 species
GGCGAGGCAGAAAUGCGUAGUCGAUGGGAAACGGGUUAAUAUUCCCGUACUUCUAGUUACUGCGAUGGGGGGACGGAGAAGGCUAGGCCAGCAAGGCGUUGGUUGUCCUUGUUUAAGGUAGUAGGCUGAUUUCUUAGGCAAAUCCGGGAAAUCUAGGCCGAGAACUGAUGACGAGCGUUCUUUUAGAAUGCGAAGUGGUUGAUGCCAUGCUUCCAAGAAAAGCCUCUAAGCUUCAGGUAACUAGGAACCGUACCCCAAACCGACACAGGUGGUCGGGUAGAGAAUACCAAGGCGCUUGAGAGAACUCGGGUGAAGGAACUAGGCAAAAUGGCACCGUAACUUCGGGAGAAGGUGCGCCGGUGAGGGUGAAGGACUUGCUCCGUAAGCUCUGGCCGGUCGAAGAUACCAGGUGGCUGCGACUGUUUAUUAAAAACACAGCACUCUGCAAACACGAAAGUGGACGUAUAGGGUGUGACGCCUGCCCGGUGCCGGAAGGUUAAUUGAUGGGGUUAGCUUAGGCGAAGCUCUUGAUCGAAGCCCCGGUAAACGGCGGCCGUAACUAUAACGGUCCUAAGGUAGCGAAAUUCCUUGUCGGGUAAGUUCCGACCUGCACGAAUGGCGUAACGAUGGCGGCGCUGUCUCCACCCGAGACUCAGUGAAAUUGAAAUCGCUGUGAAGAUGCAGUGUACCCGCGGCUAGACGGAAAGACCCCGUGAACCUUUACUAUAGCUUUGCACUGGACUUUGAAUUUGCUUGUGUAGGAUAGGUGGGAGGCUUUGAAGCGUGGACGCCAGUUCGCGUGGAGCCAUCCUUGAAAUACCACCCUGGCAACUUUGAGGUUCUAACUCUGGUCCGUUAUCCGGAUCGAGGACAGUGUAUGGUGGGUAGUUUGACUGGGGCGGUCUCCUCCCAAAGAGUAACGGAGGAGUACGAAGGUGCGCUCAGACCGGUCGGAAAUCGGUCGUAGAGUAUAAAGGCAAAAGCGCGCUUGACUGCGAGACAGACACGUCGAGCAGGUACGAAAGUAGGUCUUAGUGAUCCGGUGGUUCUGUAUGGAAGGGCCAUCGCUCAACGGAUAAAAGGUACUCCGGGGAUAACAGGCUGAUACCGCCCAAGAGUUCAUAUCGACGGCGGUGUUUGGCACCUCGAUGUCGGCUCAUCACAUCCUGGGGCUGUAGUCGGUCCCAAGGGUAUGGCUGUUCGCCAUUUAAAGUGGUACGCGAGCUGGGUUUAGAACGUCGUGAGACAGUUCGGUCCCUAUCUGCCGUGGGCGUUUGAGAUUUGAGAAGAGCUGCUCCUAGUACGAGAGGACCGGAGUGGACGAACCUCUGGUGUUCCGGUUGUCACGCCAGUGGCAUUGCCGGGUAGCUA